rnacentral:rRNA from 1 species
UACGGAGGGUGCAAGUGUUAAUCGGAAUUACUGGGCGUAAAGCGCACGCAGGCGGUUGGAUAAGUUAGAUGUGAAAGCCCCGGGCUCAACCUGGGAAUUGCAUUUAAAACUGUCCAGCUAGAGUCUUGUAGAGGGGGGUAGAAUUCCAGGUGUAGCGGUGAAAUGCGUAGAGAUCUGGAGGAAUACCGGUGGCGAAGGCGGCCCCCUGGACAAAGACUGACGCUCAGGUGCGAAAGCGUGGGGGGCAAACAGG